rnacentral:rRNA from 1 species
CCUACGGGUGGCAGCAGUGGGGAAUAUUGCACAAUGGGGGAAACCCUGAUGCAGCAACGCCGCGUGGGUGAAGGAGCGUUUCGGCGCGUAAAGCCCUGUCAGCGGGGAAGAAGAAAGACGGUACCCGACCAAGAAGCCCCGGCUAACUACGUGCCAGCAGCCGCGGUAAUACGUAGGGGGCAAGCGUUAUCCGGAUUUACUGGGGGGAAAGGGGGCGCAGACGGCGAUGCAAGCCAGGAGUGAAAGCCCGGGGCCCAACCCCGGGACUGCUCUUGGAACUGCGUGGCUGGAGUGCAGGAGGGGCAGGCGGAAUUCCUGGUGUAGCGGUGAAAUGCGUAGAUAUCAGGAGGAACACCGGUGGCGAAGGCGGCCUGCUGGACUGCAACUGACGUUGAGGCCCGAAAGCGUGGGGAGCAAACAGGAUUAGAUACCCUUGUAGUC